CUCCGUGAAGAUGCGGAGUUCGCGUAGUUAGACGGAAAGACCCCGUGCACCUUUACUGCAACUUUACAUUGGUGUUAGGAAAAACAUAUUUAGCAUAGGAGGGAGACAUUGAAGCAAAGGCGUCAGCUUUUGUGGAGUCACCAGUGAAAUACCUCUUUUGUUUUUCUUGGCAUCUAACUGAUUGCCGUUAUCCGGCAUCAAGACAUUGUAUGGUGGGUAGUUUGACUGGGGCGGUCGCCUCCCAAAUAGUAACGGAGGCGUGCGAAGGUAAGCUCAGAACGGUCAGAAAUCGUUCGUAGAGUGCAAUGGCAUAAGCCUGCCUGACUGCGAGACUGACAAGUCGAGCAGAGUCGAAAGACGGUCAUAGUGAUCCGGUGGUUCUGAGUGGAAGGGCCAUCGCUCAACGGAUAAAAGGUACGCCGGGGAUAACAGGCUGAUACCCUCCAAGAGUCCAUAUCGACGAGGGUGUUUGGCACCUCGAUGUCGGCUCAUCACAUCCUGGGGCUGAGGUUCAGAACGUCGUGAGACAGUUCGGUCCCUAUCUGCCAUGGGUGUAGAAGAAUUGAGAGGAGUUGUCCCUAGUACGAGAGGACCGGGAUGAACAUACCACUGGUGGACCGGUUGUAGCGCCAGCUGCAGUGCCGGGUAGCUAAGUAUGGACGAGAUAACCGCUGAAAGCAUCUAAGUGGGAAACCCACCUCAAAACUAGUUCUUCCUAUAGAGCCGUAGUAGACCACUACGUUGAUAGGCUGGGUGUGGAAGUGCGGUAACGCAUGUAGCUGACCAGUACUAAUAGCUCAAUUGGCUUGAUUUA
rnacentral:rRNA from 1 species